CUCCCCCCCCCCAAGAUGGUAUCUCUUUCAUGUAGUACUUUCCACUGACAAUUGGGAGAAGCUAGAGCUGGGGUGAUGGACCUGGAGCCAUCCAGAUGUUGGGUGCUUGAUCAUUGGUCAUGCUGCCUAAGGGGCUGGAUGAAAGUUAUAGUCCAACAAUAUUUGGAGGGCCACAGGUUCUCCAUCCUGGAAAGGAGAGGGGGAAAGCAGCUUCUAAGGCCGCCAAACAAUCCUGAGGGAUGUUGUGAGGGACUCAACAGAAAAUUUCUUUCCAGUAUCUUCAGGCAAGCAAUAAUAAUAAUAAUUGGGAAAAAGUUAACCUUCAGAUUUAUCCUCCAGGAAAAGAAUCAGGCCAAAAAGGAUUAUGGGAGUACUUCCUACAGCAACAUACUCAUUCCAAGGGGUUAAAAUAAGAUAGCUAAAUAGAAAUAUACUAAGCUCUCUCUCUUUUUCUCAGUUUUAACCACUCCUGCUGAGAGAUUUCAAAGAAGCCCCUGAGGACUUAGUUUUCAGAAGUGUUGAGAAACUUCUAAGCUCUCAAGGACAGAUAUAAGGUUUGCAGGGAACCAGAACUCCUAAAAUAGAUAUCAAAUAUAAAAUCAGAGCAUAUCCAGCUAAAGCCACACACACCCCAACCCAUGAGUUUCAUCUUGCUCAUCUUUAUUGCGCAGACUUGCUAAAUCUCAGGUAGCUAUUGAACCAGUUCUCAGGACUUCAAGGUCUCUACAAAUUCUAGCCUAGGUGUGGGGACCUUUGGCCUUCCAAAUAUUGCUGAGCUACAACUCCCACAAUCCCUAACCCUUGGCUAUGCUUGCUAGGGCCGAUGAGAUUGGAGUUCAGCAACAUCUGGGGGGCUAAGGAUCCCCAUUCCUACUCUAAGCCGACGUGGUGGUCCCCAGCUGUGUUGGAUGACAACUCCCAUCAGCCACAGUGAACAUGGCCAAGGGUCAGAGAUUAUGGAAGUUCUCAUUCACACCAUCUGGCAGCUACCCUGCACCUACAGAAUAAGCUACAUUAAAUCACCAGCAACACCCUAAAGGUGUUCCAGUUCAGGCACAAUGUUGCGAAUACACAAAGAACAUGGCUGCACUGGCGCUGGCUGUUUCUGCCAUUGUGAUGACACCAUCUGCAACAAGGAAACAGGCUACUAUGCUGAUUACAUGGAUCAGAAAUGCCUGGGGAAUUCAUUUAUGAUUCCAGUUUGACCACCACACUUGCACUUGGGAGCACAACCAAGCAAAAAGCUCUUGCACUCCUGGUUCAGCACCUUGGGCAGUAACUUUCUGGCGCCUCAUCUCAGAACUGCUUCCUGGACCCAAAGGAUGCAUGAAUAGAUAGUGCAAGAUGAAGUUACAGAGUGUGGGGCUGCGGUCCAUAGGGGUGUGGUGUGUGCUGGAUGUGUAUUGGUUCCUUAUCUUGAAACCAGUACACAGAUGCACUCUGAAAGAUGAGAGACAUUUCAUACGGCCUAUAGGACAAGUGCCACUUUCCGCUGUCAAAAAAUUCAACUGGAUACUGAAACUUUGAUGAGUGCAGUCCAACCGUCACCCAUAUGAUGUGAACGCCGUCGAAUGUGUUCCCACCCACUGCCUUAUGACAGCAGGCAGCAAUAGCAGAAUCAGGUGGGAAAGAAAAUGCUUGUGGUUUGGGGGGUGUUUGUUUUUUGCUUACAUCUAGUCAUAUGAAUUUAAAAGCAGGAAGAAGGGAAGAAAAUGAUGAUGAAAUAGUUCCAUGCUGUUCUACAAAAAGCAUCUAUUUUGAGGCAGGGCAGGAGAUAUCUAAAGCCAGCUACUUGUGGAGGAUGCAUCAGCGCUUUGAUGCCAUGGUGAUAGGUUCCUUAGAAAGACCAAAAAUAGAGCAAGAUGGAUGAGAGGAGUUCAGAGAGGGGGUGGACACGUUUUACAGUGAUGGAUCUUUUUUAAAGACUGCAAAAUACACCCACUUUCCUGGUUUAAUAACUGCCUUUUCCUCAAAGAAGAGAGAAGAACGAGGAACAGUGACUAUUGGACCUUUGGUGGAAAGAAACAGUAAUAUGUUGAAUGAAGGUGCCGCCCACUAACCAUUUGGGAAGGGCAAAGUCACAUAAGCAAGGCCUUGACCUCUGCUGCUCCCCUGCUUGAAAUGAAGCUGGUGUUCAAAUAAUCACUGAAACAGAUAUAAUCAAGCUGGCACAGAAUUCCACAAAGCUCAGAGUUAACCCUUAGCUAGGUCAUAUCCGCACAUUUUGGGAAGAAGGGUUACAAAACUCUUCGUUCCCUCUCUCUGACCAAGUGAAACCUACCAGGAAGGAAGUCUAAGCUGGAUGCUCCAAGCUUAGACUGCAUGGCUUAAGCAAACCAUCUUUGUGAUUCUAUACAAAUAAUUUAGAAACAUUUACCAUUUUGAAACCUAAGUUAUAUUGCCUGUCUCUUCUUGCUGCUAUAUGGAAAAGAACAUGAAUCAGACCUUUCAAGACUUUGUAAGUAAACCAUUUUUAACUUA